rnacentral:rRNA from 1 species
UACGGAGGAUGCAAGCGUUAUCCGGAAUGAUUGGGCGUAAAGCGUCCGCAGGUGGCUGUGUAAGUCUGCUGUUAAAGAGUGAGGCUCAACCUCAUAAAGGCAGUGGAAACUACAUGGCUAGAGUGCGUUCGGGGCAGAGGGAAUUCCUGGUGUAGCGGUGAAAUGCGUAGAGAUCAGGAAGAACACCGGUGGCGAAAGCACUCUGCUAGGCCGCAACUGACACUGAGGGACGAAAGCUAGGGGAGCGAAUGGG